CUAGCCCAAACACCACGAACCUAGCUGAGCGCCAGGAAAUAAACCGAAACAUUUAGUUACUUUAUUAAAGUAUAGGAGAUAGAAAUUUAACUUGGCGCUAUAGAGAAAGUACCGCAAGGGAAAGAUGAAAGAUAAAAUUAAAAGCACCACACAGCAAAGAUUACCCCUUGUACCUUUUGCAUAAUGAAUUAGCUAGAACAACCUAGCAAAGAGAACUUCAGCUAGGCCCCCCGAAACCAGACGAGCUACCCAUGAACAAUCUAUUACAGGAUGAACUCAUCUAUGUUGCAAAAUAGUGAGAAGAUUUGUGGGUAGAGGUGAAAAGCCUAACGAGCCUGGUGAUAGCUGGUUGCCCAGAACAGAAUCUUAGUUCAACUUUAAACUUGCCUCAAAACCCCCAAAAUUCCAAUGUAAGUUUAAAAUAUAGUCUAAAAAGGUACAGCUUUUUAGAAUUAGGAUACAGCCUUUAUUAGAGAGUAAGCACAAACAUAAA
rnacentral:rRNA from 1 species